rnacentral:rRNA from 1 species
ACAGUGAAGAGUUUGAUCCUGGCUCAGGAUGAACGCUAGCGAUAGGCUUAACACAUGCAAGUCGAGGGGCAGCAUGGUCUUAGCUUGCUAAGACUGAUGGCGACCGGCGCACGGGUGCGUAACGCGUAUGCAACUUGCCUCACAGAGGGGGAUAACCCGUCGAAAGACGGACUAAUACCGCGUACACUCUAAGUUGGGCAUCCAAUGUAGAGGAAAUGAAAUUCGCUGUGAGAUAGGCAUGCGUCCCAUUAGCUAGUUGGUGAGGUAACGGCUCACCAAGGCGACGAUGGGUAGGGGAACUGAGAGGUUGAACCCCCACACUGGUACUGAGACACGGACCAGACUCCUACGGGAGGCAGCAGUGAGGAAUAUUGGUCAAUGGGCGAGAGCCUGAACCAGCCAAGUAGCGUGCAGGAUGACGGCCUUAUGGGUUGUAAACUGCUUUUGUAUGGGGAUAAAGUCAGUCACGUGUGAUUGUUUGCAGGUACCAUACGAAUAAGGACCGGCUAAUUCCGUGCCAGCAGCCGCGGUAAUACGGAAGGUCCAGGCGUUAUCCGGAUUUAUUGGGUUUAAAGGGAGCGUAGGCUGGAGAUUAAGUGUGUUGUGAAAUGUAGACGCUCAACGUCUGAAUUGCAGCGCAUACUGGUUUCCUUGAGUACGCACAACGUUGGCGGAAUUCGUCGUGUAGCGGUGAAAUGCUUAGAUAUGACGAAGAACUCCGAUUGCGAAGGCAGCUGACGGGAGCGCAACUGACGCUUAAGCUCGAAGGUGCGGGUAUCAAACAGGAUUAGAUACCCUGGUAGUCCGCACAGUAAACGAUGGAUGCCCGCUGUUGGUACCUGGUAUCAGCGGCUAAGCGAAAGCAUUAAGCAUCCCACCUGGGGAGUACGCCGGCAACGGUGAAACUCAAAGGAAUUGACGGGGGCCCGCACAAGCGGAGGAACAUGUGGUUUAAUUCGAUGAUACGCGAGGAACCUUACCCGGGCUUGAAUUGCAGAGGAAGGAUUUAGAGAUAAUGACGCCCUUCGGGGCCUCUGUGAAGGUGCUGCAUGGUUGUCGUCAGCUCGUGCCGUGAGGUGUCGGCUUAAGUGCCAUAACGAGCGCAACCCCUCUCUUCAGUUGCCAUCAGGUAAUGCUGGGCACUCUGGAGACACUGCCACCGUAAGGUGUGAGGAAGGUGGGGAUGACGUCAAAUCAGCACGGCCCUUACGUCCGGGGCUACACACGUGUUACAAUGGCCGGUACAGAGGGAUGGUGUAAUGCAAAUUGCAUCAAAUCUUGAAAGCCGGUCCUAGUUCGGACUGGGGUCUGCAACCCGACCCCAC